GGGGCCGCGGGCAGGGACGGAGGGCGGGCCCGGCGGGUCCCAGGCGGCGGCACCGCCCCCCGCGGGCGGGAGCCGGCGCGGGGCAGGCCCGUCCUCCCCACCUCGCCAGGUUGUUUGUCUUCAUCUGGAAGCAUCUCUUAAUCUGGAAUAAAGGAAGAUGCGAAGGACAAUAGGCAGAACAGCAAAAGACAAAAUUUUCCCAAGUGACUACUGGUGAGUGCAUGGGAGUGUUUUUUAAUCAGUCCUGAUACACAUUCACAUACAAGGCCAUCAGGAAUGAGUUUUCUGUCCAAGGAUCACAAAGCCUACUGACCUCUCUGUUAUCCUAUGGCAAGAAAAUACAGUUCCCUAAGGCUGCAAAAGCAUCAGCGUUGAAUUUCCAGAAAUGAGAAUAAGCAGAAUGGAAGACGUGUUCGUGUCCUCACCGAGAGUAGCUCAGGGUCUGGUGCCUUGGCUCACUCCCAUCUUGUCAGCAGUUUAAUCAAUGACGCUCUGCUUCGUGCCCAAGCAUGAAGAUUUUGCAGCAGUGAAAAGUGGAAUGGAAGAGAAGCCUGGUGAAAAGUUUACUGGGGGAAGUUAAGAAAAAAGAAACAAAGAAGGAAAGCAGCAUAGGGCAGAACCAGCACAACUUCCAACAAUGAUC